rnacentral:rRNA from 1 species
UACAGAGGUCCCAAGCGUUGUUCGGAUUCACUGGGCGUAAAGGGUGCGUAGGCGGUCGGGUAAGUCUGAUGUGAAAUCUCCGAGCUCAACUCGGAAAUGGCAUUGGAUACUACUCGGCUAGAGGGUUUGAGGGGGGACUGGAAUACUUGGUGUAGCAGUGAAAUGCGUAGAUAUCAAGUGGAACACCAGUGGCGAAGGCGAGUCCCUGGAAAACUCCUGACACUGAGGCACGAAAGCUAGGGGAGCAAACAGG